CAAACCCCCAGUGCUCUGGACCGUAUCCCACAAAAGCUUUGGUCCACCGGCCCAGAUGACAUCGGACGUCUACAAGUGCCCCCCGUUGUGGUCAAGCUCCUGCCAGGAGCAUUACCCCCCCCCGUAGACCACAGUAUCCUCUGAAACCUGCACAAACUGAUACUAUCACCAAACAAGUCGAAACCCUACUCGCCAAAGGUGCC